UACGCAGGGUGCAAGCGUUACUCGGAAUUACUGGGCGUAAAGCGUGCGUAGGUGGUUCGUUAAGUCUGAUGUGAAAGCCCUGGGCUCAACCUGGGAAUGGCAUUGGAUACUGGCGACCUAGAGUGCGGUAGAGGGGUGUGGAAUUCCCGGUGUAGCAGUGAAAUGCGUAGAUAUCGGGAGGAACAUCUGUGGCGAAGGCGACACCCUGGACCAGCACUGACACUGAGGCACGAAAGCGUGGGGAGCAAACAGG
rnacentral:rRNA from 1 species